UGAGAGGGACCCCCAUUGCCUCACCAUCCCUCUCCAUCCCUCCUCCCUGACUCAGGGAAGCUGCAUCCAAAGGAAAUGCUUCUGGGAUCCUCUCUGCCUCUCACCCUGGAUGAGCCAUUUGCCUGUUUGGAUCUCAGGCACCACAGAAUACCAAGUGGGAAGACACUCCAGCCUGGAGUAAGUUUGUCGCCCCAGAGGACCCCUGUGCCAGAGGAGAUCUCGGAGCACCUCACCUUCACUUAUAGGUGAGAAGAUGAAGAAAGAGAACCCAAGGCCCAGAAGAGUGUGGGAGGCGGGGAGAGGUCAUCUCCCAGGCCUCGGAAGAAGCCCUAGUGCUCAUGGUGGUAGCCAGAGAAACACUCGUAUCCUGAGCUCACCUUAGGCCCCCAGCACCCAAACCUCGCCUGUGCUAUCGUCUCCUUGAGGACUCAGCCCCUGUGGAUUCUCCGGUCAAGGGGAAAUAUUCUUGAAAAGCUGUACUGGAGGAACUGCCCCUCAGAAACCUCAUUCAUAUCUCAACCUGACUUAGAUAACAAGAUCCUGGGCUUCAAGUUGCUGCCUUAAUGGGAUGAGAUGCUGGGAUUGACCUACAACCCAGGUAUGUGCCCUAACAGGGACUCGAACUGGCAACUUCUCAGUGCACAGGAAGACACUCAACCUACUGCCACUCUGGCCGGGCUCAUUUGAACUUUCAGGUGACUCCAGCCCCAACUUUCAUCUGCAACUGCACGAGAGAUCCCAAGGAGAAACCCCAUCAACUAACCCCAGUCCUACUCACAGAACCUUGAGAGAUAAUGAAUUUACUUUUUAAUUCACCAAGUGUUGAGGUGGUUUGUUAUGCAGAAAUAGAUCAUCAGAACAGC